GACGAACGCUGGCGGCGUGCUUAACACAUGCAAGUCGAACGGAAAGGCCCUGCUUUUGUGGGGUGCUCGAGUGGCGAACGGGUGAGUAACACGUGAGUAACCUGCCCUUGACUUUGGGAUAACUUCAGGAAACUGGGGCGAAUACCGGAUAGGAGCUCCUGCUGCAUGGUGGGGGUUGGAAAGUUUCGGCGGUUGGGGAUGGACUCGCGGCUUAUCAGCUUGUUGGUGGGGUAGUGGCUUACCAAGGCUUUGACGGGUAGCCGGCCUGAGAGGGUGACCGGCCACAUUGGGACUGAGAUACGGCCCAGACUCCUACGGGAGGCAGCAGUGGGGAAUAUUGCACAAUGGGCGGAAGCCUGAUGCAGCAACGCCGCGUGCGGGAUGACGGCCUUCGGGUUGUAAACCGCUUUCGACUGUGACGAAGCGUGAGUGACGGUAAUGGGUAAAGAAGCACCGGCUAACUACGUG
rnacentral:rRNA from 1 species